rnacentral:rRNA from 1 species
UUAAAGGGUUUAGACCCUUAGCGGACGGCUCNNUAACACGUGGAGAACCUACCCUCAGGUGGGGGAUAAUCCCGGGAAACUGGGAAUAAUACCCCAUAGGUCUCGAUUGCUGGAAUGCUUCGAGGCUGAAAGUUCCGACGUCUGAGGAUGGCUCUGCGGCCUAUCAGGUAGUAGUGAGAGUAACGUCCUCACUAGCCGAUGACGGGUACGGGCGUUGAGAGACGGAGCCCGGAGAUGGACUCUGAGACACGAGUCCAGGCCCUACGGGGCGCAGCAGGCGCGAAACCUCCGCAAUGCUCGAAAGAGUGACGGGGGGAUUCCAAGUGCCUACGCUUCGCGUAGGCUGUUCAGAUGCCUAAAAAGCAUUUGGAGGAAGGACUGGGUAAGACGGGUGCCAGCCGCCGCGGUAAUACCCGCAGUCCGAGUGGUGGUCGAUUUUAUUGGGCCUAAAGCGUCCGUAGCCUGUCUGGUAAAUGCCUGGGUAAAUCGUCUGGCUCAACCAAACGAAUUCCGGGUAGACUACUAGACUUGGGACCGGUUGAGGGAGANGGUACUUCAGGGGUAGGANUGAAAUCUUGUAAUCCCU